AGGACGCUGCCGAGCCGCGCGGACGCACGUCCUCGGUCCUCCUCGACUUCCGUACCACGCACAAAUCACCCAACACAACGGCGCGCGCAGAUCACGCAAAAUAUCGCACGCACUCGUCUGGAUAAGGCGCUCCUCCCGCGCGAACCAAACGCGAGGCCGUGCGUUCACCCCAUGGCCUCUUCCGUGUUCUCCCCGCUGUUCUCCUCGCUCCGGCUGCCCGCCCCGGGUUCGCGCUCUCCUCCUGCUCCGCACGCUGUGUCGUUGACUGAAAACACCGUCCCGCGGCCGGCGCCUCUCGUCGCGGUUGCCAGCCACAGGAGGGAGCUGGUGCUAGGUGCGGCGCUGAGCGCGCUGCUGUCGCGGGCGCCGUUGCCCGCCGAGGCGCGCGAGGUCGAGGUCGGCACGUACCUGCCGCCGGCGCUGUCCAAACCGGGCUUCGUCUUCUUCCGGGCCACACCCAAGGACACCCCCGCACUCCGCGCUGGCAAUGUGCAACCGUACGAGUUCAUCCUGCCGCCCAGCUGGAAGCAGACGCGGGUGGCCAACAUCCUGUCCGGGAACUACUGCCAGCCCAAGUGCGCCGAGCCGUGGGUGGAGGUGAAGUUCGAGGACGAGAAGCAGGGCAAGGUGCAGGUGGUGGCAUCGCCGCUGAUCCGCCUCACCAACAGGCCCACCGCCACAAUCGAGGACAUCGGCAGCCCCGAGAGGCUGAUCGCCUCUCUGGGGCCUUUCGUCACCGGAAACACCUUCGACUCCGACGAGCUUAUCGACACUAACGUCGAGAAAAUCGGCGACCAAACUUACUACAGCUACGUGUUGGAGACACCGCUGGCACUGACGGGUUCGCACAAUCUAGCGAAGGCUACCGCCAAGGGGAACACGGUGGUGCUGUUCGUCGCAAGCGCCAACGACAAGCAGUGGUCGUCGUCACAGAAGGUUCUGAAGGCCAUAGUGGACUCGUUUCAAGUAUGAUUGCAGCACGUGCCAUUCUGUGAGAUGGUUGGUUUGGGUGAUGAGUCCUUGGCAACAUUAGCCGUUUGAGCUUGGAAAGUGGAGUAAAGAACGAUUUUCUAUGGAGUUACUAUGGUGAUGGUGCUGUUCAUAGCUUAUUGAAGAGGAGAGGUUAGGUGUACAAAAUGAGGAACAUAUUUGUUUUCAAUAAGAACUGUAAGUUAUAAUCAGCUUAUGCUGGUAAGUUGAAAAUGUGAACAAUCACUUUUAUGCA